rnacentral:rRNA from 1 species
AGCAGCCGCGGUAAUUCCAGCUCCAAUAGCGUAUAUUAAAGUUGUUGCAGUUAAAAAGCUCGUAGUUGAAUUUCGGGAUUUAUCCGUCGGUCGGGCUUUUGGGUCUGUACUGGCGUGAUGGAUUCCUACCUUCUGAAUAACCGGCAUGUCAUUUAUUUGGUGCGCUGGGGAAGCAGGACUGUUACCUUGAAAAAAUUGAGUGCUUAAAGCAGGCUAUUGCCUGAAUACAUUAGCAUGGAAUAAUGAAAUAGGACGGCAUGGUUCUAUUUUGUUGGUUUCUAGGAUCACCGUAAUGAUUAAUAGGGAUAGUUGGGGGCAUUAGUAUUCAAUUGUCAGAGGUGAAAUUCUUGGAUUUAUUGAAGACUAACUUCUGCGAAAGCAUUUGCCAAGGAUGUUUUCA